UGCCAAGAAGCCUUUGUAUAUCGGUGACGCUGGCGGGCACUCGAUUUUAGCAUGUCGCGGGGCAUGCCUGAACAAAGUUACCCUUGCAGCCGGCACUGCCGCACCAUUCCUGCUAUAAUCUAAGUGAGAUGCACCAUUAUGUGUAGACCACAUCGCGUAGCCCAAUCCCAAGGGCUCGCACCAAAUGCCGACCGAAAUGCAAGCAACUAGCAACACUGCCCAGCGCCUUUUCGCUGGCCGCUUGCACCAACAAUUCUCACAUACGCCAUAGAUAGCAGCACUGGAAGCCUGGAGCCCAUGCGCGCGGGCCCGCCCUUCCAAUCCUGGUGCCGCUUUCCCCGUCACUAGGGCGCAAAAGUCGCGUCCAAACAGACACCGGCGCCAGCCCGACCUCUCCCGCGCGGGAGCGCGUUGAUCCCGACCCGGUAAGUCCCAUCGUGGGACAGUACCCCCAAGGCCCCUUCCAUAGCGCAGAUGUUCCUGGGCGCUCUCCAGCGUGCAUGCGGGUUCUAGGUAGCCACGCCCACGCUGCGAGGCUGGGAAAAAGGCCCAUUGUGACAGCAAGCCAGCUUUCGCGCCAUGGGUUGCCGGCGACAGCCCUGUGGUGUAGCAGCUUGGGUAUGCAUAGCUUGUUGGGGUACGGGCGGGCAAUGACUCCCAACCUUGCGCGCGUAGGAUUUAUGAGGGCAUCCUGCCCCCUGCGCAAAAGCAUGAAUUUGCACCCAUGCAAUGCGCGAGGGGAGCAGCUACCCACCGCGCGCUGCCCUGCUGCCAGGUAUCAACUGGAUUAUCAAUCCCAAUACCCAGGCAUUUAGCUGGCAUGGCUGGGAAGCGCGAGGGAAAAACCGG
rnacentral:lncRNA from 1 species